UACGGGGGGAGCAAGCGUUGUUCGGAUUUACUGGGCGUAAAGGGCGCGUAGGCGGCGCAACAAGUCACUUGUGAAAUCUCCGGGCUUAACCCGGAGCGGCCAAGUGAUACUGUCGUGCUAGAGUGCGGAAGGGGCUACUGGAAUUCUCGGUGUAGCGGUGAAAUGCGUAGAUAUCGAGAGGAACACCUGCGGCGAAGGCGGCUCUCUGGGACGGUACUGACGCUGAGACGCGAAAGCGUGGGGAGCGAACAGG
rnacentral:rRNA from 1 species